rnacentral:rRNA from 1 species
GACGAACGCUGGCGGCGUGCUUAACACAUGCAAGUCGAACGGAAAGGCCCUGCUUUUGUGGGGUGCUCGAGUGGCGAACGGGUGGGUAACAAGUGAGUAACCUGCCCUUGACUUUGGGAUAACUUCAGGAAACUGGGGCUAAUACCGGAUAGGAGCUCCUGCUGCAUGGUGGGGGUUGGAAAGGUUCGGCGGUUGGGGAUGGACUCGCGGCUUAUCAGCUUGUUGGUGGGGUAGUGGCUUACCAAGGCUUUGACGGGUAGCCGGCCUGAGAGGGUGACCGGCCACGUUGGGACUGCGAUACGGCGCAGACUCCUACGGGAGGCAGCAGUGGGGAAUAUUGCACAAUGGGCGGGAGCCUGAUGCAGCAACGCCGCGUGCGGGAUGACGGCCUUCGGGUUGUAAACCGCUUUCGCCUGUGACGAAGCGUGAGUGACGGUAAUGGGUAAAGAAGCACCGGCUAACUACGUG